rnacentral:rRNA from 1 species
ACAUCCAGAGAACUUAGCAGAGAUGCUUUGGUGCCUUCGGGAACUCUGAGACAGGUGCUACAUGGCUGUCGUCAGCUCGUGUUGUGAAAUGUUGGGUUAAGUCCCGCAACGAGCGCAACCCUUAUCCUUUGUUGCCAGCGGCUCGGCCGGGAACUCAAAGGAGACUGCCGGUGAUAAACCGGAGGAAGGUGGGGAUGACGUCAAGUCAUCAUGGCCCUUACGGCCAGGGCUACACACGUGCUACAAUGGCGCAUACAAAGAGAAGCGACCUCGCGAGAGCAAGCGGACCUCACAAAGUGCGUCGUAGUCCGGAUUGGAGUCUGCAACUCGACUCCAUGAAGUCGGAAUCGCUAGUAAUCGUAGAUCAGAAUGCUACGGUGAAUACGUUCCCGGGCCUUGUACACACCGCCCGUCACACCAUGGGAGUGGGUUGCAAAAGAAGUAGGUAGCUUAACCUUCGGGAGGGCGCUUACCACUUUGCGAUUCAUGACUGGGGUGAAGUCGUAACAAGGUAGGCGUAGCGAG